CCUGCCGUCUACUCUUGGCCAGCCUUCUGAAAGGAAGAUUAAUCCAGGAUGGGAUCAUGAGUUCACAUGUCCGCAUGAUUAAAGGUAUUUUCCGGUAGACGAUGGGGAUGCGUUCCAUUAGAUAGUAGGCGGGGUAACGGCCCACCUAGUCAACGAUGGAUAGGGGUUCUGAGAGGAAGGUCCCCCACAUUGGAACUGAGACACGGUCCAAACUCCUACGGGAGGCAGCAGUGAGGAAUAUUGGUCAAUGGGCGAUGGCCUGAACCAGCCAGUAGCGUGAAGGAUGACUGCCCUAUGGGUUGUAAACUUCUUUUAUAAAGGAAUAAAGUCGGGUAUGCAUACCCGUUUGCAUGUACUUUAUGAAUAAGGAUCGGCUAACUCCGUGCCAGCAGCCGCGGUAAUACGGAGGAUCCGAGCGUUAUCCGGAUUUAUUGGGUUUAAAGGGAGCGUAGAUGGAUGUUUAAGUCAGUUGUGAAAGUUUGCGGCUCAACCGUAAAAUUGCAGUUGAUACUGGAUGUCUUGAGUGCAGUUGAGGCAGGCGGAAUUCGUGGUGUAGCGGUGAAAUGCUUAGAUAUCACGAAGAACUCCGAUUGCGAAGGCAGCCUGCUAAGCUGCAACUGACAUUGAGGCUCGAAAGUGUGGGUAUCAAACAGGAUUAGAUACCCUGGUAGUCCACACGGUAAACGAUGAAUACUCGCUGUUUGCGAUAUACGGCAAGCGGCCAAGCGAAAGCGUUAAGUAUUCCA
rnacentral:rRNA from 1 species